UCCUGCAGAAGGUGCGGCUG
rnacentral:miRNA from 1 species